GCCAGUAUGGUGUAGUGUUUUGAGCAUUAGACUAUGACUCUGGAGGCCAGGGUUCAAAUUCCUGCUCAUCCA